rnacentral:rRNA from 1 species
UACGUAGGGUGCAAGCGUUAAUCGGAAUUACUGGGCGUAAAGCGUGCGCAGGCGGUUUUGUAGGCCAGAUGUGAAAUCCCCGGGCUUAACCUGGGAAUGGCAUUUGGGACUGCAAGGCUUGAGUGCGGCAGAGGAGACUGGAAUUCCUGGUGUAGCAGUGAAAUGCGUAGAUAUCAGGAGGAAUACCGAUGGCGAAGGCAGGUCUCUGGGCUGACACUGACGCUCAUGCACGAAAGCGUGGGGAGCAAACAGG